rnacentral:pre_miRNA from 1 species
UAUAAGGGAUUUUGAGUUUUUUGCUUUCAACGUUUGACUACUCGUCUUAUUCAAAAAUUUUUAAAAUUAUUAUUUAUUUUAUUUGUGACUCACUUUAUUAUCUACAGUAUUUUAAGCACAACUUUUUGUUUUUUAUACUUGCAAAAAAAAAAUUAAAUAAGACGAGUGGUCAAACGUUGCAUGUAAAAACUCAAAAUCCCUUAUA